GUGCGGGUUACUGCAAUAGGGUGUGAGCCCUGAGCUGUGCUGUGAUUGGCUGAUAUCAUUCCACGCCCACAUCCCCAGUCCUCCUAUCGGUUUACAGUAAGUUAAAAAGUACCCGCAAAAGCAAAUCAUAUCUUUGACUUUAUUUAUACCACCCUCUGGCAUGGAGUCUCCACUCGACCGGACUCAUACAGCACCCAGACACAAACACCCUUGCAGCUGAAAAUGUGUUCUAUUUUUUAUGAAAGCAUUAAAAGAAAACAAGAAGGUUUUGGUUUUGUCACAUUUUUUCAUGGGACUUUUUGGUUUUCAUUAAAAAAAAAGCAGAACUCCAAAAGUCAUUUCUGGGUAUUGAAAACUGAAAAAUUGUCAGUGUUCAGAUUUUUCAAUUCAAAGCCAAAAAAAUUAAACAAAAACCUUCAUUUUGUUAUGAAAAUUUGCUGUUUUAUCACAAAGCCCUUUUUUGGAAAUAAAAGUGGAUAUAAUUUUUAUAACCUGCUCUCUUUAUUCUAAACCGAUGUUCUGACAAGAUUGAGGCCACCCAACAUUUAUUCACAUCCUUUGAUUUGUACUAAAUCUGGUCCCAAACCUUCUUCAACCAUUUAUAAUCUUCAUUCCACAUGACACCAAUGUCUCCAGGAGGUAGUCCCUUUGAGUGGCUGCGUUGCUAGCAUCUGCAUCAAUUUGUUCUUUGCUCGUGCCUUUGUCACAGAUAGCCAGUGCUACCUGGGAGCUCCCGGCCCACGCUAGGAUCCGGGCUUUUACCCCAAGAUAAAGGGUGAUGAAGGAGGAACUUUUUAAAAAUACACAGCAAAUGCAGGAGGCAACAUCUCUUCACGCCGGGUAUCAGAAGGUAUGUGGGCAUUCCACUGCGAGUGGAAGCUGGAGCAGCUCCUUUGUGUCAAUGGAGCUGUGGUAGAUUGCACCGGCACUGAAUGUGGUCCCUGCACUUCUACCACUGAGGUACGAUACAACCUUGGACAAAUCACUGCAUUUCUGCACAAAGGGGAUAACAUCUGGAAUCACAUGAUCUUCUGCUCCUCUACGACCACACACUGCAGCGUCAACUCUGCCACCCGUCAGCCCUCCGCCGCCUGCCUUCCCGAACGGUCCCUUCCCAGCACCACACACCUACUGCUCAGAGGGGCUAGUAGGGGGUCGUUUGCAAACGAGGUGUCUGACUGGCUUUGGCUACAAGAGAUGACUUUCCUUCUCAACUAUUGGAAACAGGUCAAAGCUAUACGCAGCCACUGGGUGCCCUGGUCAGACAAUGCCGACUCGUGCAGCGAUAUGCAGAUGGCACACAGCUCUACCCACUCUUCACCAUCUAGGUCCACGCCACUACCACCAAGAUGGCCCCAUGCUUGGAAGAGAUCAGCUCAUGCAUGAAGUACAGUUGACUGAAUCCAAACAAGACAGAGGUGAUGCUGAUGGGCAGAGGAAAGUAUUUUGUGCGCUUUGUGCUUUGGAGCAGAGACGGGCAUCUGGCCGGGGACAGCCUUUGUUUCAGGUAUGUGGCUUUUGUCAUCCUCGUGAACAUCUGCCUAAAUCAGCCCAAGUUAUCAGCCUUUGAAAAACUGCAGUUUGCACAGUUCAGUAGAGACAUCUUGUGUUUCAGCAGCUAAACUCCCUGCCGUGUCUGUCCUUGCUGAGAAUGCUUGAGGCUCUCAGAGCUCCUGGUGCUGACAAGGCCGCCCGCGCACCGAGCAAUUGAGCAUGCUCCAUCUCCUCCCGGCUCCUAACGCUCGUCAAACGGCACACCUGCCAUCCCCGCGCCGCCUGGCUUCCCGGGAAUGGCUGCUCUGGGCUGGGCUGCAGCAGGCAUCAGAACCAAGAGCAGGGAGUCGCGAGGAGGCAGCUCCCCAAUUCUAAUGCAGAGGUGACAAAAGCCAGGCCAGGGAGAGGGAAAGGAAUAGAGGGGGAAAGGAGGGAGAUUUCUUUCCUCCUCUCAGAUAUGACCAGGCUAGAGGGGCGUUCAGUCUGAUACUCACAGGAUACGAACAGCUGGCUGCCGUGCUCAGCCCAGGAGGAGGCCUGGCCACGGCCCACCCUAUGCCACCCCUGUUGACUAGAACCAUGACGUUCUCUGUGCACCACAGACUACUUUAUAUUUAACCAUUUCGCUACAUUAGAAACUUCUGUUCACCUGCCCACAGCCCCACUGCACACUUAGCAAAGUAAUUCUGAGCAGAAGCGACAUGCAGGGCAAACACUGGCUAAAGACACACCGGUUUUCCUAGCGAAGCCGCCACGUGGGGCGUGCGAGAGAGACAUCUCUCCAGCUGGCAGGUCCUAAGCCAGUUAGGGCUUGAAAGAACAAACGCCAACCGUUGCGUUUUACAUUGAAAUGCAGGUUCCUAUGGGGAAAUGCCUUUGCGAGACGUAGUUUGAAUCCCUGAUGCUUCCAUUUAUCUCAUAUAAACUAGGAUCCCUGGCUGGACUACAUCUUCCAUGAUGCAACACACUUCCCCUCUGACCAAAUGGGAUGGUGUCCAGCCAGCGAGCCCACCCUGCAGGGAGCAUGGGGGAGAAUGGCAUCAGGAAUCCAAACAACAUCUCCCACAAGGCAAUGCACCACCAUAGCUUAAUGUUGAUCUGACUUGAAACAAAACAUUUUGCCUUAGGUCAACAAACUGAAUGGAUCAUUUCCAUUUGGGACUAACAAACUGUUUAUAUAAAAAAUGGCAAAACAAAAUAUUGUCAUUUCUGAAUUAAAAUUUUUUCUAACUUUUCAUUCUGUAAAUAUUUCAAUAUCUUAACUUUGUUUUCUGAUUUUGGACAAAACACAGAUGUUGAAAUAUCAGAAUUUCCUGGGAGAUGGCAAGUGACAUUUUUGCUCGGCUGUUACUUCUGUGCCUUCAGUACACAGCCUGGAGCUCCGGAGCACUGAAGCCAACCACUUCUCAAUGUUCUUUCUGAACCCACCGCAGCUCUGCUGUGCUCAGACUUCCAGCACAUGUGGAAAUCAUCAUGUUAGAGGGAACACUCUGACUGACUUCUGGUGGAAUUCUUCUUGGGAAGGAGUACAGGAUAAGACUCUGGAACAGAUGUUUUAAGUAUUUGGGAGGAAUUGAAGAAGAAAAGUGCAGAGACUAAAGGGUGAGCUACAUCUUGGGCUGAAUUUGAGCAGGUUGCAGUUUUUCGAUUGUGAAUAACCAUUAAAAUUUUCAAAAUAUAUUGGUGAAAACAUGUACUUCUUUUGACCAGCUCUAGGGUGAAUGAUUGUGUCGGGCGGAUCUAGUCCAAACACUGAUCGAGGAAAAGGG